rnacentral:lncRNA from 1 species
CUUCUGAACACUGGUCUAUAAAAAGUUUAAACUCCAUAUUCUAUCAUAGCAAUUCUACCUACCAGAUAGAGGCAUAGACAAAGACUCUGACAAGAUAGUUCAAAUUAAAACCAUCAACCCUUCAUAUCCAUAUUUUAAGCAUCUUCAGUGUAGACUUCGCAGAAUGCCAUGCAGGUAGCCACCAGUCAUCACAAGAGACACAAGGGAUACAACACCUGCUGGAAACAGCUUUCCUGACUUCUUGAAGCGAGAACCCAUCACUCCAACAAGUGCAGCAGAGAGACCUGGAAAUGGAGAAGAAUGAAUUAGUGAACAUAGACUUGCAACAAACUUAACUGAAGAUGAAUCAGUGUCCCAGCGAUGUGGGUGAAAAGAUCAGUUGUUGGGCCCAUUAGUAAAAAGUGAACAUCUUUGUGUUGCAAAUAUGAAAACUCAGUACUUGCUCAUUUUGUCAUAAAUUAGCAUCAUCUUAGGACUUCUGAAAGAACUUCUGUUGCUUCUUAGCCAAAUCUCAAAUACACAGCUCCAUAUAAUUAAUAAUCUACCAUUGAUAACCUUUGAAUCUAAAUUAUCAACCAACCAACUUGGUUCAAUGAUGUACAAGUAGAGUUGCUCAAACUUCCAGUAGAAGCUUCUCAAACUGUCUAACAUAGCCCGAAAUUCUGCUGCAACAACCAAACCAUUUUAUUCAGUUUUAGAAUAGCCACUCUAGCAAGAAAGAUUGGGAUCAAAGAAUGCCUUUUUUUUUUUUUACCCAAAUAUCUAUAGAUUUAACACAGGAUAGACAUGGAAAAGAUCAUGAAGUUCCAAUGGAAGGCCAUUGUCUUCCCCCUUCUAAUUAAGGUAGCCUUGCAGCUUCCUUGAUCUUCAGAAGAAAUCCCCCCUGCGUCUUCUUCUCCAUGACAGAACAAUGGACCCAUAUUCUAAUUGACACAGUUUAUCUCUUCUACUUCAUACUCUAAACCAGCCUCUGAGAACCCAAACAGGCUAGUUUUGUUCAACCUUCCGGUCUGAAGUAAACCUCCAAAUACACAAUGCUCUGGGCUCUCUCCACAGCUGCUUCUCCACUCUGAGAACCCAAACAGGCUAGUUUUGUUCAACCUUCCGGUCUGAAGUAAACCUCCAAAUACACAAUGCUCUGGGCUCUCUCCACAGCUGCUUCUCCACUGUUAGGCUAUUCUUUACACACAGAUAGUUAUGGACUUCCCCACCCUCAACCGUCACCCUCCAGACAGUGGCACUGUUGAUUGGGCAUUUGACAAGUAAACAUUUGGCUAGCACCCUCAUUUAAGGGAAAACUUAGGUGGGCACUGAUCUUGUGCCAGAAGAUUGCACUUUACCAUGUUAAUCUCAGGCACCCCAUGAUUUUGGGCAGUUAAAAAAUGACAAACUCUAUUGGGUCCUAAUUUAGGAUGCUAUUGGGUUUUAAGCUUUUCGUUGAUCUAUUUGCAGAAAUUAUUGGCCUAUUCUCAAGUUGAUUCAAGAGCAAAUCAGUUAGGCCUCAUUUCAACUCUUUUAUAAUUAUUGAUGUUGAUAACUUGAAAAUAGCGAGUUCUGUCCAUUCUGAAUAAGUAAUAAGAAUAUUUAUAAGCCUACAUAAAUCAAAAUGCUCCAACAAUCUUCCCUCCAAUCUCUACUAUAAUUUCUCCUACAGUUUCUUCUGCAUCUUACCACUCCCCCUUGAGUUGGAGAAUAGGUAGUAACAACUCCCAGCUAGUCACAAAUAGAGUCAUGGGGUUCUUUUGAAAGGGCUUUGAUAAAGAUGUCAGUCAAUUGGUUCUUUCAUCAUAUAAGUGGGGUAAUGAUUUCAUUAACCCCACCUUCAAGUGAAUGGCACUUUGAUAUGUUUUUAGUCCCGUAUGAAAAAUGAGAUUGCUAGAAAUAUGGAUGACUACUUGUACCAAUAGAGAGGAACUGGAUCUGAUACUGGUAUGCCAAUUUCUUGCAUAACAGUUUUCAACCAAGUUAAUCCACAUUCUAUAUUGCUAUUUUCUGAUACUAUUACCUAUGAACUAGAACAAGCCACAACUAAUUAUUUCUUCUCCUUCAAGUUACAUGAUUACCUCCAAUAAAAUGCAAUAACCAGUUGUUGAUUUUCUGUCAUGGGAAGAUUUCAUCCGAUCAGAGGUAAUCUAUCCUUCAAUAUGAAGAUGUCCUGAGGAUCAUUUGAGAAGACCAUGACCAAUAGUUCCCUUGAGAUAUUUCAAUGUUGUAUGACUACAUUCAAGUAAGAAACUCAAAGUGAUCAUAAAUUGGUUGACAGCACUGACUACACAACACAUAUAUAUGGUUGAGUAAUGGUUAAGAAAAUCAACCUUCCCAUGAGCCCCCUACACAAUCUAGGUUCAUACCCUCACUCUCCAUCAUUCAUCAAAUUUUGAUUAGCUUCAAUAAACAUAACAACAGCAUCAACACCAAGCUAACUUGUCUCCAUAAUUGUGAAAGGCAUGCCUAGGCUCCAAGCGGCGUGAGGCCACCCUCCGACGCCUCGCCUGAUUGCAGGCCGGCCCCUUCGCGGAGGCGCUGAUUAGGCGCGCAAGGCACUCACUUCUCGGCCAGGUGUGACACCUCCAACAGGUGCACCUCUAUCCUCUGUUGUAGUCAUCUUCUUCUUCUUCUUCUUCUUUUGGUCAUCUUCUCACCCUCUGGCGAUGAGUUGCAGAGCAACAGAGGAAGAACGACAAGGGUUUUGUUUUUUUAAUUUCCUAAGACCAAAACGACGUUGUUUGGUCUGUUCUUUUAAAAGAACAGGGGCCAAAACAACGUCAUUUUGGAGUCUGAUCUUUUUAAAAACAAAAACAGGCAAAAUAAACAUCAUUUUGGCAUGUUCUUCUUCCAAAACCCAAUAUAUCCUCGUUUUGGACCUAUAAAACACAAAAAAAAUGCCCUAGCCUCCUAAACAGUGUGAAGAAGAGGAGAAGAGAAGAGAAGGGGAAAAAUAAAGGGAAAAUAGAGGAAAAUUUUCAGGCACUUGAUUAUAUUAUAUAAAAAUAUAUAUGUAAAAUAGGGUGCGCCUCACUUCACUAAAGCCCACGCCUUUGGUGCGCCUUGAGCCUUUUAAAACUAUGCUUUCUCUCUCCAAAAACGAAGAAUGAACUUCUACUGAGGCAAGCAAAUACCAUUCUUUGAUUUUGAAAUUUCAAUGCACAAAAAAUAACGAAGCUUAUCGACAUCUAUAGUAUGAAAGUUGUAUACAAGUGAUUAAACAAACUUUCAAUCCCAUUGAGUUCUGCUCAUGCCAUGAGAUACUCUUAUAUUGCUUAAAUUUUUCAAACAUACAUGAAGAGAUUGUUUGAAUAUAUAAAUAGACUUUUUAAAUUAAACAACAUACUCCCCUUAGACGAAAACCCAAGUGGCUAAGCCAUGAAGACUAUUUCAUUCAACUUGUCAUAAAGGAAUGCGUUUUGUUACGUCAACUUGACAAAGGGACCAAUUAUGAUUUGUUGCAAUAGAUACAAGAUUCUUACAAAAUUUAGUUUAGUCACAGGAUAAAAAGUCUCAAAAUAAGUCAAGGUCAUAGGUCAAGUGGAUCAUUUAGCCACCAAAGAAGCCUUCAAUCUAUCAAAUGUAUCAUCAAGAUUUCCCUUUAUGGUAGAGACUCGACAACAACCAACAAUUGGAACAUUAAGAGGCUUAAGAACAACACCCAAGGCAUGAUUUCACUUUAAAAGAAUGCAUUUUUGCUUCUAACUAGGACCAAAAAGAGUUUCAUUGUAAGACUUAGGAAAAGUAAUAGAAGAGAGAGAGGUAAAGAAGGCUCUAAAAAAGGGGGGCAAGGAAAAAGGAUGUUUAAAAUGAGUGUGUACCUUGACAAAUAGUGAUUGGGAGGUCCGAAGCCAAAUUACGGACACCAAGGGAUUGGCGGAGGUGACAACGAGGACUUCACUCCUUUAAGAGGAGAAUGCCAUUGUCAUUUGUGAACAUCGAACCUUUGAUAAGAAGGAAUAAAAAGAACUAGAAUAGGACUAACAGGUUUUGGAAGAAAAAGGCUCAUGUAAUUCAUUUCACACCAUAAAAUAAUAAGGUACAUCCUUAAAAAAAGGUAGCAUUAGCACAAGGAAAGUGUUUUCAUGAAGUAGGAUUGUAACACCAAUAUCCUUCUUAAGUUUGAGAAUAACCAAGAAAUAGACACUCUCAAAAACUUUGGGAGGAAGAUAAAAGGUUCUUGGUCAUGAAAUAACAUUUGAAAAGGAGACUUUCCAUAAAGAACUUGAGAAGACGAUCAUUUAGUAGAAGAGUCAUCAUGAAAACAUCUCCCCAACAUAACUUUGGUAUAGUCAUUUGAACUAUGAAGGCACAAGCAAUAGCAAGCAUAAGAUCAUUCUUACUUUCAAUAAUUCUCUUUUGUUAAGGUGUAUUAACACAUAAUAUUUGGAUGAAUAAUAUCAUUUCACUCAAAGAAACACUAAUAGUGUGAAUGUUUGUACUCAAGGACAUUGUUAACUAUAGGAAUUUUUAAUUUAACAUUCAAUUGAUUAGAAAUUUUAGCAUAGGCGUUAAAAACAUCAAAUACUUGGGUUUCAUCCUUGAGAACAUAUAACCAAGUCAUAUGGGAGAAAUCAUCUAUGAACUAAUUAAAAUAACAACCAAAUAAUCCAAAGUUGGACCCCAAAUAUUAGAAUGGACUAGCUAAAAGGGAUACAAAUAGGUUUAUUAAAGAAAAAUUUGGAAGUAGACUUAUAAUGUUUUAUCGAACUCAUAGGUUUCAUAAUUGAAGUGACUAAAAGAAGGUAAACUAGGAACUAAUCAACAAACACUAACAAAGGAAGGGUUUGAGAGCAAUUGUCACAAGCACGUUUCUUCCUUUGAACUUUUGUGUCUAUGCAAUGCUUUAACGCACCCUAAGACAGCCCAAGAGAGGCUACACUAAAUUGGAACAAAGAGAAAACCACAGAGCACACAAGAUUAUAGGGUCAAAUUCCCCCAACUUGUUUAUUUAUUCUCUAUAAAAUUCAAGACAAAACCUUCCAGCAAGACUCCUACAAUUUGCUUGGUGAGUUCAAAUCUUUGAGAAGGCACUCUUGCCCUCUUUAUACAAGUUGGUGGCACCAGCCACCCCCACAUAUCUAAGAACAAGCCUAUACUUUCAAAGGUCUUCAACAACUACUUUAUCCUUUUGAAAUUGUCUUCCCCGCUCAUGCUGCUACCACAUGUCCAAGACACUCAACCCAUUAUGCUCUUUAGAGACUUGGAUGCUCCACUUGCUUAGUCAAGUGUCUUGCCCCAUGACUCAAUCCAUGAUUUAGCCUACCAAGUGUCCUACCUCGUGACUUAGUCCACACUUAUGCUAAGUGUCUUACCUUAUGAGUUAGUCCACAUCUCAACCAUUCAAGCACCAGCCCUGCAUCUUAUAAGCCUGCUACAUGUGUCUCUAAGCAAUUUGUGUGCGUGCCAAGCCCUCUCUGGGCCACACAUUUAGCAACAUGCCUUGGUGCCAAUCUUGCCCUCGGCUCAUCACCCAUGUUGCUCCCCAUUAGCCCUUAGACAUGCUAAACAUGCUUACGUGCAUUCCCAUAUCGAGAUUGAGUCCAAGCCAAGGCAACCAACUCAUGUUUGUUUUGUACCCACACCCCAUGUCAUUGCACCCACGGGUUGCACCAUAUACCAUGGCUUAAUACCCAUGGGUGCGUGCUUGGCAAGGAUCACUACCACUCCUAACCCAUAUGUCCAAAGCCUGAGUGUGUGCCCUUGGUUAGGAGUGGCUUAUUUUUUUGAUAGGCAAAAGCAUGGUUAGGAGUGGCUUAUGCCACCUGCUACCUAUGCGUGCUAGUAGUGUAGGCCAUGUGAUGCUCAUGCCACCUACUGCCAUGCAUGCCAACACAUUAGAGGCAAUGUGUGAACAAAUUGCACGCUUGGAGACACAUGUUGGAGGAUCUCUUAAUGCAGACACCACUCUAUCUAUAAGAGUGGCAAAGGCUUGCAAUGAACCUAGUGUUUAGUGGCGUGCACUUGAAGGUUGUGAUAAGUUGGUUAAGAAUUGAGUUGUUGCCUUCACAAUUGAGAACAAGGCCAUCAUUGAGGAAUUCUAGGGCAAGAUCGAGUCCCUUUGAGGGGAGAUCACAUUGUUGAAGCGGGCUAUCAUUCAGGGAACACCAGCUACUUCAAAACCAACCCCAGCCAGGGUGCGAGUACCUAAUCUAAAGCCCUUUAGUGGGGUGCAUAAUGCAAAGGACCUAAAGAACUUCCUGUAAGACAUGGAGCAACAUUUUAGUGUUGUCUAUAUCCCUCUAGUCAAGCAGGUGACCAUAACCACAAUGUAUCUAUCUGGAGAUGCAAAACUUUGGUGGCACACGAGAAUGAGUGAUGAUGUUGAGUCAAGGAGGUCCCAUAUCACCACAUGGGAAACUCUGAAAAAGGAAUUGAGGGAUCAAUUCCUCCCCACUAAUGCUCCAUGGGUGGCUUGAGAAUCUUUGAGAAGAUUGAAGCACAUGGGUUUUCUACAAGAAUAUAUGUCAAAAAGUUGAGUUCCUUGAUGUUGGACAUCAAGAACAUGUUCAAGGAAGACAAACUAUUCAACCUCAUGUCUAGGUUGCAAGGGUGAGCCCAGACUAAAUUGUGGACUGGAGAUUUCCUUGUUGCAAUGGCUACAACAAAUUGCUUAGUGGACUAUAAGAUAGUCGAUGCCAUCUCCACCACCCAAAACUCAAAAGCUGAGGGGACAAAGAAGUCGAGGGUAGAGGGAAAACCUCCUAAAAAAGAGUUAGAAGGAAACAGGGUCAAUUGCAACCCUAAAACAAGUGGAGGAAACCACUGAGGUGGUGCAAUAGACAUCCAAAAUGGCAAGUUGUUUCAUCUGAAAUGGACCUCAUCAUGCUAGAGACUGUCCAAGGAGGGGAAAAUUGUUAGCCCUCAUGGCUACUGAUGCUAAGGGAGACUCAAAUUCAGAUGAGUCUACUGUACAAGUCGAUCCUUUGCAAUGGUUGAAUGUUCUUCACCCAAAGGGCUUUAUUCACAAUGAGCUGAUGGACGUGCCAUUGUUGGUGAAUGGAAAAAGGGGGAAUGCAAUGGUUGAUAGUGGUGUAAACCACAAUUUUGUGGCUAGCAAGGUAGCAACCGAAUUUGGGUUGAAUUUAGAGGAAGAUGGCUGCAAAAUCAAGGCCAUGAAUAGCAGAGCCACGCAAAUUGAUGGCAUUGCUAAGAAGGUUCAUUUUUAGGUGGAAGAUUGAAGGAGCACCUGUAGCCAUUUAGCAAUACCCCUAGAUAACUUUGAUGUGAUUUUGGGCAUGUAAUUCUUUCUACAAGUUAAGAAGGUGUUGCUCCCUCACCUUAAUAGGCUAAUGAUCUUGGAGGAAAGUCAGUUGUGCUUUGUGAAUGCUCUGAGGGGAAAGGUUGCUGGGAAGGGCCAGACAAGCAUGUUUUCUAUCAUCCAACUCCAUAGGAGUCUAAAGAGGGUCAACAACAACAUAAAGGAGCAACAUACAAGGAAGCAACUAAUUGAGUUGUUAGAAGCAGGUUUGGAAAAGGUGUUACAGUGAACAAGACAGAAGUUAAGCAUGGAGGAAGGACUUUGACAGCAUUGGCUAAACCCUUUUAUUGGCAACAGUGAGGUAAGGAAGUCUGAGCACAUGGAAGGCUUUGCAUGAAAUACCAAUUGGAUAAAGACAUGGAAUGGAAGUUCCCAAUCAGAGCUGAAUUAGGCAUAUGAGAAGGUCAUCUUCAGGUGGGGGUGGCUUUGUAAGCACCUUUUCUCAAACGAAUUUGCACCAAAAGCCUCAUGGGCUGGCAUGUACCCAUGAGGACCUUAAGAGUGAGACAAGGCGGAGAAUGAUGUAACAAGUGCAGUGUGUGCAACCUAAGUGGAGUAGGUGGAACAGCAUUUGGAAUGGCAUGAGGGAUUGCAUGCAGUAACGUGACAUGUUGCAGCCAACACAACACAGAAUGUGCCACUUUAGACAAUGCAGCGUGUCACUAGCAGCACAACAACCACAACACUUUGACUCAAAGUAUGUGGCUCAAAGGUCUGACACGAUGCCACCAAAACUUCCUAAGAUGCUCCUUCCUCGACAACUUAUUGACCAUCGAAUUGAGUUGUUGUCGGGAGCUAAGCCUCCAGCACAAGUGCCCUGUUGGAUGACUCCACUGGAAUUGGUGGAAUUAAGGAAGAAACUAAAUGAGUUACUGGAUGCAGGUCUGAUCCAGCCCUUGACAGCACCUUGUGGAGCAUUAGUGCUCUUUCAGAAGAAGCAAGAUGAGACCCUUCACAUGUCUGUUGACUAUCAAGCUUUGAACAAGGUAACUAUCAAAAACAAACAUUCUAUGCCACUAGUUGUAGACUUGUUUGAUAGAUUAUCCAAAGCCACCUACUUCACAAAGCUGGACUUGCAUUUUGGGUAUCGGUAAGUCCAAAUUGCACAAAGGGAUGAGGGGAAGACUGCAUGUUACACGGUAUGGCAUCAAUGAAUUCUUAUGAUGUUGUUUGGGCUUACCAAUGCCCUUGCUACUUUCUGCAACUUGAGGAAUUAUGUCUUAUUCGAUUUCUUGGACUGUUUUGUGGUAGUGUACUUGGAUGACAUGGUCAUCUACAGUCAGAUUCUAGAUGACCACGUCAUUCACCUUGGGAAGGUGUUGCAGCGGCUAAGACAACACCAGCAAUACGUGAAGAAGGAAAAAUGUGAAUUUGCCUAGACCCAAAUAAAGUUUCUAGGAAACUAGAUCUCUAAGGGGAAAAUUCAGAUAGACGAGACUAAGUUGGAGGCAAUAAGGGAUUGGUCUGCCCUUGCAAAGGUAACAAAACUAUGUUCUUUCCUUGGUUUAACUAAUUAUUAUCAUCAUUUUAUAAAAGGUUACUCCAAGGUCACUGCUACUUUAACUGGUUUGUUGAAGAAGGAAACAAAGUGGGAUUAAGAGUCGGACUCUAAGACAACUCUCCAAAGUCCAAAGAAAAAAGAAUUAGAAGAUGUUUGGAAGCAUGUUCAUGAAAACUAUUCUUUAAAACAUUUCAUGAUAAUAAAAAAUAUAUAUAUUUUUGUUUUAGAAGCGCAAGCACUUAAACAAUUGAAAAUGCCAAAAAUUCAAAGUCUUUUUAACAUGCCCAUAGUUUUUAAUUCUUAAGAUACAAACAAUUGUUAAAAAGGAAACUAAAUAAAAUCAUCAUUUACCAAAGAGGCCUGCUUGUGGUUUUUUUUUUCUUUUAAUCGUUAUAUGAGAAAUUUUCAAUAUUCUUUUUUUUUUUUUAAUUUACACUAAUGUUAGUGUCCACAUCAAUAUAGCAGUAUCAUUCACACUACUUGUUCUUUUUGGUUAGGUUUUAGUUGAUGAUAAAGGAUUAGAUUGAAUUAGAGGCUUGGAUUAAUAGUUAAUGGAAUUUUUAGUUUGGCAAAAGCGUUGUAUACAGUAUUUUGAGCAAAAGAAUUCUGAAUUUAAAAUUCAUAGCAUCAAGACUUUAUUCUAUAUGCAUAAUUAUGCAUAUAUGUAUUCGUGUAUUUUUUGUUCUUUUCUAUUAAUUCUAUUGCAAUUACACAAUUUUGUUGUAUUAGACAAAAGCCACAAAUUACACCAUCAAAACCCCUAAAACACCUAUUUCUACACCAAAUCCUCUAUUAACCGAUUCCUAAUCACCCUUUAACCUGUGCAACAAAAAACCUAACCCUAACUCCCAAUUAAAGUGCAACCGAUUCUAUCUUUCCCUAAAACUUGAAUUUUCUCUUUAUCAACUCAAUAAUCAUGGUUACAAUACAAACAGAUGUUUUCUCUCUUUGGUGUGGCUUGAGUUCUCUCCUUCUCGGUUAAGAAGGCACUCCCUAGGUGGCAUGGUUCCUUUGUGGGUAAAGCCCGCAACAAGGCUUGGAAGGUGGCCCCUAUGUUUUUUUUGGAUAGUGUGGAAAGAAAGGAACUUGCUAGUGUUUGAUAAUGCAGGGAUUUCGAUCCAUAAAAUUAAAAAUUCUUUUGUAUGUAAUUUGUGGUCUUGGUUUAGGGCGUUUGUAGAUGUGAGACUUAUUUCCCUUGUUAGCUUUAUUGAUUGGUUAGGUUCUAAGCAAGGGUAAGUGAUGUGUUUCUCUCCCUCUCUCUUUUGGGUGAGCCCUUGGGUGGCUGGUGUAUACUUCAAGUAUACUUGGGGACGCUAUUUUGGCACCUCUUUUUAUUAAUUUAUAUUUUCACUGAUCUUACAGGGAAAAAAAAAACAACCUUUAAUUAAAGUUUAAGGCCUUUACACAAGAUUGUGAUUCCCCAAGAAAAAUAUCACUUGGAUUAAAGAUAGAUGUCCUAGCGAUAAAACUUUGGAAGAGAAUAACUUUUUAGAGUUGAUGUCCGCUGCUGUUGUAGGCAAUGAACAGUCUGAAAAGCUAACGUAUGUGAGAGUUAGAGCAUCUCUCUUGAUUUUGAAGGCAAAUACAGCUUUGAAUUUUCCUCUCAGGUAAAGUAUGUCAAGAGUGCUAAUAAAAAAAUGCCUUCUCAUACUCGGUAAGAUUGAAUGAGCAAUUCUGGAAAAGAUAAUUACAGAAAACGCUAACAAUGGGUUCACUCUUUUUCGUUAAUGCAUAAGAUAAUCUUAUAUGCUGAUCUCAAACAAGACAUUAUUAUUAAGAAUUAUACGAUCUCUUACCAAGCCCCAAGAAUGAUGCAAAAGCUGGUCGUGUGGGAAGUUGAGUAUAGACAUAAUACAGAAGCAAGGCUGAUAGUCCACCUGCCGCAAGAGACUUCUGGCUGCCACUCUUCAUAUAGCCCAUAACUCCACCGACUGUUAGGAGAUUGAUCAAAAUCAGAUAGAAAGCGCAGCGCACAGGGAUGCCAAGAAGUUGCACAAGUAAAACACCAGCACAAUCCACUAGAAAAUGAAGUUACCUCCGACCAGGGCAGCGUAGCCCAGAGUCAACUUUUGGGACAUAGACAUGGCAAUUUUGUUAUUGCUUUCGUCCGAUCCGCCCUCGCCCUUAUUGUCGUCGUUGUCGUGAUCACCACCACCACCGCCUCCGCCGCCACCGUCACCACCACCGCCUCCGUCACCACCACCGCCUCCGUUUCCACCCU